GGGAAUUUAGCUCAGUGGCAUAAGCGCCUGCCUUGAAAGCAGGCAGGCGUGAGUUCAAUCUCCAGUACCGA
rfam:Cavia porcellus supercont2_4 genomic scaffold, whole genome shotgun sequence.